rnacentral:lncRNA from 1 species
CUGAUCAGGGCCUAGGUCAACACUAGUAAUGCCAAGGCACAGCAGGGCAAGGAGCCCCCAUCCCCAUCCCCCGGGCACCACACUCACCAGCUCAGGGGUGAUGUCCAUGUCGAGGGCGCCGUUGGUCUGCAGGAGUCCAAACGUGGUGUUGAAGAGCUUGCUGACUCCUCCCAGUUCACGUGCACUCCUCCAGGAAGCCUUCCAUCCUGGUUUUCUGCCUCGGGCAGAUGCCCUCUGAGCGCCUAUCCCACCCUGCCUGGGCUGCCUCCAUCACUGCCCUGAGCCCAUGGGAUCUUCGCUGUCAGACUCCACCACCUAUGAGGAGCUCUUCAAGGCACGAACAAUGCCAAGCUCAUGUCUGAGACUCCAGCCUCACCAAGAAAGCGGAUUUCACAGGGGAGGGAGAGUAAAUAUUGCAU